UACAGAGACUGCAAGCGUUACUCGGAUUCACUGGGCGUAAAGGGAGCGCAGGCGGACCGGUGUGUCAGAUGUGAAACCCCAGGGCUCAACCCUGGGACUGCGUCUGAACUGACCGGUCCAUGAGGACUACGGGAGGGCUAGUGGAAUCCUGGUGGAGCAGUGAAAUGCGUAGAUAUCAGGAGGAACACCAACGGCGGAAGGCAGCUAGCUGGACGAGAUCCGACGCUCAGGCUCGAAAGCGCGGGGAGCGAACAGG
rnacentral:rRNA from 1 species